rnacentral:piRNA from 1 species
UGCACUGACAUGGACCCCGAGCCGCAGACC